CUCUUACUCUGGAUACAUAGUGAAGCUUUUGACAGCAUACGAUCAAGAAUUCCAGCACAAUUACCAAGUGUUUAAGACUUUGUCCCUUCCUAGUCAUGAGCCAACAGUUUGCUAGGAAUUUCAUUUAUUAUAAGGAAAGGAAAUGUGAUAAAUAUCAUGAGCAAUCUAAGUGGCAUCUGGUUUUAUUUAUCAUAUUUGAAGGUAUCCAAGGCAUCUCCUGAGUUAUUUUGUACCUCAUCCUUAGCAAGAGCAUUUGGGUAUUUCUUAGAACUCUUUUGAGUUGAAAUCUAGACAUCAUCAAUCAAGUAUGUGGCUGAUGCAUUGAGGCCACAAAUCAGGAUUUCAUCUGAAAGGUCCCAAAGCAUUUAAGGAAAAUUCUCAGUGUAAGAUUUUAUCAGCAAACUCUUAAACACGUGGCGGACUUACCUGCCUUUGCUGAGAUACAGUGGGAUCU